rnacentral:rRNA from 1 species
GAUGAACGCUGGCGGCGUGCCUAAUACAUGCAAGUCGAGCGAACGGACGAGAAGCUUGCUUCUCUGAUGUUAGCGGCGGACGGGUGAGUAACACGUGGAUAACCUACCUAUAAGACUGGGAUAACUUCGGGAAACCGGAGCUAAUACCGGACGAUAUUUUGAACCGCAUGGUUCAAAAGUGAAAGACGGUCUUGCUGUCACUUAUAGAUGGAUCCGCGCUGCAUUAGCUAGUUGGUAAGGUAACGGCUUACCAAGGCAACGAUGCAUAGCCGACCUGAGAGGGUGAUCGGCCACACUGGAACUGAGACACGGUCCAGACUCCUACGGGAGGCAGCAGUAGGGAAUCUUCCGCAAUGGGCGAAAGCCUGACGGAGCAACGCCGCGUGAGUGAUGAAGGUCUUCGGAUCGUAAAACUCUGUCAUUAGGGAAGAACAUAUGUGUAAGUAACUGUGCACAUCUUGACGGUACCUAAUCAGAAAGCCACGGCUAACUACGUG